UACAGAGGUCCCAAGCGUUUGUUCGGAUUCACUGGGCGUAAAGGGUGCGCAGGUGGGUUGGCAAGUUCGAUGUGAAAGCCCCGGGCUUAACCCGGGAAUGGCAUUGGAUACUGCUGAUCUGGAGGAUCGGAGGGGGGGACUGGAAUUCUUGGUGUAGCAGUGAAAUGCGUAGAUAUCAAGAGGAACACCAGUGGCGAAGGCGAGUCCCUGGA
rnacentral:rRNA from 1 species